rnacentral:rRNA from 1 species
CAUGCAAGUCGAACGGUAACAUAGUCUUCGGACUGAUGACGAGUGGCGCACGGGUGCGUAACGCGUAUGCAACCUACCCUUAACUGGAGGAUAGCCCGAAGAAAUUCGGAUUAAUACUCCAUAGUAUCACCAGAUGGCAUCUGAAGGUGAUUAAAGAUUUAUUGGUUAAGGAUGGGCAUGCGUGACAUUAGCUAGUUGGUGAGGUAACGGCUCACCAAGGCAACGAUGUCUAGGGGUUCUGAGAGGAUGAUCCCCCACACUGGUACUGAGAUACGGACCAGACUCCUACGGGAGGCAGCAGUAGGGAAUAUUGGUCAAUGGGCGAGAGCCUGAACCAGCCAUGCCGCGUGCAGGAAGACGGCCUUCUGGGUUGUAAACUGCUUUUAUACAGGAACAAAUAGUCCAUGCGUGGAAAGUUGAGUGUACUGUAUGAAUAAGCACCGGCUAACUCCGUGCCAGCAGCCGCGGUAAUACGGAGGGUGCAAGCGUUGUCCGGAUUUAUUGGGUUUAAAGGGUGCGUAGGCGGUCAAUUAAGUCAGUGGUGAAAUCCUAUAGCUUAACUAUAGAACUGCCAUUGAUACUGGUUGGCUUGAGUACAGACGAGGUAGGCGGAAUUUAUGGUGUAGCGGUGAAAUGCAUAGAUACCAUAAAGAACACCGAUAGCGAAGGCAGCUUACUGGACUGUAACUGACG